rnacentral:misc_RNA from 1 species
GAUGAAGAACGCAGCGAAAUGCGAUAAGUAAUGUGAAUUGCAGAAUUCAGUGAAUCAUCGAAUCUUUGAACGCACAUUGCGCCCGCGAGUAUUCUCGCGGGCAUGCCUGUCCGAGCGUCAUUUCAACCCUCAGGGCCCGCCUGCUUCGGCAGGCGCGGCGCUGGUGUUGGGGAUCGGCCUAACCGCCGUCCCCCAAACACAGUGGCGGUCCCGCUGCAGCCUCCUCUGCGUAGUAGUUUUCUCCUCGCAAGGGCAGCUCGGUGGCGACCUCGCCGUAAAACCCCCAACUUCUGAAAGGUUGACCUCGAAUCAGGUAGGAAUACCCGCUGAACUUAAGCAUAUCAAUAAGCGGAGGA